AUGUUAGCUGAUUGCACUGGGGGUUUAUUCAAUCUUCCUCCAACUGCAGUUCCAACUCUCAUUCCAUCUCCAGCAGUCCCAGUGUUGUCCAUGUCUCUACCAUCACCAUCCCAGUGUUGUCCAUGUCUCUCUCCAGCACCAUCUCCAGUGUUGUCCAUGUCUCUACCCAGCACCAUCUCCAGUGUUGUCCAUGUCUCUCUGCCCAGCACCAUCUCCAGCAGUCCCAGUGUUGUCCAUGUCUCUCUCCAGCACCAUCCCAGUGUUGUCCAUGUCUCUCUCCAGCACCAUCCCAGUGUUGUCCAUGUCUCUCUCCAGCACCAUCUCCAGUGUUGUCCAUGUCUCUACCCAGCACCAUCUCAGUGUUGUCCAUCUAUCUGCCCAGCACCAUCUCCACUGUUGUCCAUGUCUCUCUCCAGCACCAUCCCAGUGUUGUCCAUCUAUCUGCCCAGCACCAUCUCCAGUGUUGUCCAUGUCUCUACCCAGCACCAUCCCAGUGUUGUCCAUCUCUCUGCCCAGCACCAUCCCAGUGUUGUCCAUCUAUCUGCCCAGCACCAUCCCAGUGUUGUCCAUGUCUCCCCCCAGCACCAUCCCAGUGUUGUCCAUCUCUCUGCCCAGCACCAUCCCAGUGUUGUCCAUCUCUCUGCCCAGCACCAUCCCAGUGUUGUCCAUCUCUCUGCCCAGCACCAUCCCAGUGUUGUCCAUCUCUCUGCCCAGCACCAUCUCCAGUGUUGUCCAUGUCUCUGCCCAGCACCAUCUCCAGUGUUGUCCAUCUCUCUGCCCAGCACCAUCCCAGUGUUGUCCAUCUCUCUGCCCAGCACCAUCCCAGUGUUGUCCAUGUCUCUGCCCAGCACCAUCCCAGUGUUGUCCAUCUCUCUGCCCAGCACCAUCUCCAGUGUUGUCCAUGUCUCUACCCAGCACCAUCUCCAGUGUUGUCCAUCUCUCUGCCCAGCACCAUCCCAGUGUUGUCCAUGUCUCUCUCCAUCACCAUCUCCAGUGUUGUCCAUGUCUCUCUCCAGCACCAUCUCCAGUGUUGUCCAUCUCUCUGCCCAGCACCAUCCCAGUGUUGUCCAUGUCUCUCUCCAUCACCAUCUCCAGUGUUGUCCAUGUCUCUCUCCAGCACCAUCUCCAGUGUUGUCCAUCUCUCUGCCCAGCACCAUCUCCAGUGUUGUCCAUGUCUCUCUCCAUCACCAUCUCCAGUGUUGUCCAUGUCUCUCUCCAGCACCAUCUCCAGUGUUGUCCAUGUCUCUCUCCAGCACCAUCUCCAGUGUUGUCCAUGUCUCUCUCCAGGACCAUCUCCAGUGUUGUCCAUGUCUCUGCCCAGCACCAUCUCCAGUGUUGUCCAUGUCUCUGCCCAGCACCAUCUCCAGUGUUGUCCAUCUCUCUGCCCAGCACCAUCUCCAGUGUUGUCCAUGUCUCUACCCAUCACCAUCUCCAGUGUUGUCCAUGUCUCUGCCCAGCACCAUCUCCAGUGUUGUCCAUCUCUCUGCCCAGCACCAUCUCCAGUGUUGUCCAUGUCUCUACCCAGCACCAUCUCCAGUGUUGUCCAUGUCUCUCUACAGUGUUGUCCAUCUCUCUACCCAGCACCAUCUCCAGUGUUGUCCAUGUCUCUACCCAGCACCAUCUCCAGUGUUGUCCAUGUCUCUACCCAGCACCAUCUCCAGUGUUGUCCAUGUCUCUCUCCAGUGUUGUCCAUCUCUCUACCCAGCACCAUCUCCAGUGUUGUCCAUGUCUCUACCAGCACCAUCUCCAGUGUUGUCCAUCUCUCUGCCCUGCACCAUCUCCAGUGUUGUCCAUGUCUCUACCCAGCACCAUCUCCAGUGUUGUCCAUGUCUCUACCCAGCACCAUCUCCAGUGUUGUCCAUGUCUCUCUCCAGCACCAUCUCCAGUGUUGUCCAUCUCUCUGCCCAGCACCAUCUCCAGUGUUGCCCAUGUCUCUACCCAGCACCAUCUCCAGUGUUGUCCAUGUCUCUCUACAGUGUUGUCCAUGUCUAUCUCCAGUGUUGUCCAUGUCUCUACCCAGCACCAUCCCAGUGGUGUCCAUGUCUCUACCAGCACCAUCUCCAGUGUUGUCCAUGUCUCUCUCCAGUGUUGUCCAUGUCUCUCUCCAUCACCAUCUCCAGUGUUAAAUUGUUUUCUUUCUCCAACUGCAGUUCCAACUUCCAUUCCAUCUCCAGCAGUCCCAGUGUUGUCCAUGUCUCUACCCAGGCUGCUGUGUAG
rnacentral:lncRNA from 1 species